UCAACGGAGAGUUUGAUCCUGGCUCAGGACGAACGCUGGCGGCGUGCUUAACACAUGCAAGUCGAACGGAAAGGCCCGCUUGCGGGUACUCGAGUGGCGAACGGGUGAGUAACACGUGGGCAACCUGCCCCUAGCUCUGGAAUAACACCUGGAAACAGGUGCUAAUACCGGAUAACAACUGAGGAGGGCAUCCUCCUCGGUUCAAAGUUUUUCGGCUAGGGAUGGGCCCGCGGCCUAUCA
rfam:Actinobacteria bacterium 69-20 SCNpilot_cont_1000_bf_scaffold_353, whole genome shotgun sequence.